rnacentral:rRNA from 1 species
AUACGGAGGAUGCGAGCGUUAUCCGGAUUUAUUGGGUUUAAAGGGUGCGUAGGCGGUUUUUUAAGUCAGCGGUGAAACGCAAGGGCUCAACCCUUGACCUGCCGUUGAAACUGGAGGACUUGAAUGCGGAUGCUGUGGGAGGAAUGUGUGGUGUAGCGGUGAGAUGCAUAGAUAUCACACAGAACACCGAUUGCGAAGGCAUCUCACAAAUCCGUGAUUGACGCUGAGGCACGAAAGUGUGGGGAUCAAACAGGAUUAGAUACCCUGGUAGUCCACACUGUAAACGAUGAUGACUCGCUGUCGGCGAUAUACAGUCGGUGGCCAAGCGAAAGCGAUAAGUCAUCCACCUGGGGAGUACGACCGCAAGGUUGAAACUCAAAGGAAUUGACGGGG